UACGGAGGGUGCAAGCGUUACUCGGAAUCACUGGGCGUAAAGCGCGCGCAGGCGGUCUUUUAAGUUGGAUGUGAAAUCCUAUGGCUCAACCAUAGAACUGCAUCCAAAACUGAAAGACUAGAGUCUGGGAGGGGAAGAUGGAAUUAGUGGUGUAGGGGUAAAAUCCGUAGAGAUCACUAGGAAUACCAAAAGCGAAGGCGAUCUUCUGGAACAGUACUGACGCUGAGGCGCGAAAGCGUGGGGAGCAAACAGG
rnacentral:rRNA from 2 species